UCAUUAUUGGCACCAUUCAAUUUUGAGAAGAGCUUUGAAAGUGUUUGUAAUUGAGAGGUAAACUUUUAACCUCUUAAAGGUUUGAGGCAAUGAACGGUAUACAUGAUCUGAAAGGCUUCCUCAAAACCAACCCCGAAUAGAAGAUUUAGGCGAUAGGCAAGGAGACAUGACUAUUGGGAUCUAAACCUUGUAAGGCACCUUUGAAGUCAAAUACGAAGCAGUUUGGUAGUGAUACUGAUGCGCUUAAGUGACUGGAAGAAUAUAUAAAGAACUGGUUCGUAAGUUGAAUAUCAAACUGUCAUCUUGCUUCUCCAACGAGUGAAUAAAUAUACAGGCCUUACUCUUGAAUCUAUGCACCUAAAUGACAUUAGAAACGUACUGAAAGCUUAAAUUUUAUCAAUCAAGAUAUAUCACCACAUUUAUUA